rnacentral:rRNA from 1 species
CCUACGGGAGGCAGCAGUAGGGAAUCUUCCGCAAUGGACGAAAGUCUGACGGAGCAACGCCGCGUGAACGAUGAAGGCCUUCGGGUCGUAAAGUUCUGUUGUUAGGGAAGAACAAGUGUUAGUUGAAUAAGCUGGCACCUUGACGGUACCUAACCAGAAAGCCACGGCUAACUACGUGCCAGCAGCCGCGGUAAUACGUAGGUGGCAAGCGUUGUCCGGAAUUAUUGGGCGUAAAGCGCGCGCAGGCGGUUUCUUAAGUCUGAUGUGAAAGCCCCCGGCUCAACCGGGGAGGGUCAUUGGAAACUGGGAAACUUGAGUGCAGAAGAGGAAAGUGGAAUUCCAAGUGUAGCGGUGAAAUGCGUAGAGAUUUGGAGGAACACCAGUGGCGAAGGCGACUUUCUGGUCUGUAAACUGACGCUGAGGCGCGAAAGCGUGGGGAGCAAACAGGAUUAGAUACCCUGGUAGUCCACGCUGUAAACGAUGAGUGCUAAGUGUUAGAGGGUUUCCGCCUUUAGUGCUGAAGUUAACCGNAUUAAGCACUCCGCCGUGGGGAGUACGGUCGCAAAGACGUAGAACGUAACUAAAGUAGUUAAGUUAGUACGGACGUUGAGACGUUGCCGACGGACGACGACGAGGGAGGAGG